rnacentral:rRNA from 1 species
CCUACGGGAGGCAGCAGUGGGGAAUAUUGCACAAUGGGCGAAAGCCUGAUGCAGCAACGCCGCGUGAAUGAAGAAGGAUUUCGGCUCGUAAACUUCUAUCAACAGGGAAGAAAGAAAUGACGGUACCUGACUAAGAAGCCCCGGCUAACUACGUGCCAGCAGCCGCGGUAAUACGUAGGGGGCAAGCGUUAUCCGGAAUUACUGGGUGGAAAGGGUGAGUAGGCGGCACGGUAAGGCAGAAGUGAAAGCCUUGGGCUUAACCCGGGGACUGCAUUUGAAACUAUCAAGCUAGAGUGCAGGAGAGGAAAGCGGAAUUCCUAGUGUAGCGGUGAAAUGCGUAGAUAUUAGGAAGAACACCAGUGGCGAAGGCGGCUUUCUGGACUGAAACUGACGUUGAGGCACGAAAGCGUGGGGAGCGAACAGGAUUAGAUACCCGUGUAGUC